rnacentral:lncRNA from 1 species
UCCUUUCAGUGGGUUAGAAUAGUUUCACUCUAACUCGACAAAGAUCAUUAAUCUAAAACGAUCCUAUUGAGCUCUCACAAUCUAUCAAUGACAUAUAGUAAUAUGUAGUGGCAAUCCAGCAUAACCAAAAUAAAACUUUUAGGUGUAGUUAAUGUAUGAUACAGUUUCUCUAUCAUGAGUCCUGACUAAAUGGCAGAUCAUGGAUAAAUCGUCAAACUUCAUCAUCAGUCAUAUGAUAAAUCCGAUCAGCUCAAGUCCAUUAGUGAUUCUAAAUAAAUUUUUUUCAUCAAUCACACUGCUAUGGCCAUAGACUUAUGGACUCAGUU